GCAGUCUGCCCCUCAGGCACCCCAGCCCGUAGUGGCACUUGAGCCCCCCUUCUCUGUCUCACUCUUGGAGAUUAGAUACGGUCUCUGUACCUGCUGACGUAAACACUGGUGGUCAAAUGCACGCAAAGGCCACGGCUGUUGACAGGACGUGUCUGCCUCUGCUUUUGUAAGUAUCUGCUUUACAUGAUGGAUCUAGAGUCUAUCCUGGGAACACUGGGUAUGAGGCCUGAAUACACCCUGGCUGGGACACCAGACGAUUACAGGACAUGUUGUACACAUACAUUCACGCCAAGGACUAAUUUAUCUUAGCCAAUCCAUCUACUGGCAUGUUUUUGGGAGCCCACAGACAUGAAGAGAACAUGCACAGAAACUCCACACAGACAGUAAUCCCAGCUCAGAAGCAAACCAGAGACUCUGGAUCUGUGAGGCAGCAAUGCUACCCAAUGCUCCACCAUGCUGCUGCUGAAUAGUGUUAAAAUAUUGAUGGUAUUUAGCAGUAAAUAAUAACAUAACCAUAAAAAAUUCAAUCAAACUAUAAAUUACAUUCGUGUUUACAAUUGCAUAAAUUCUCUUAGGGACACUGUGGAGAAGAGUUCUGAGGAAAUUGGCUGGUAUAUUGUUUUUAGGCUUCUUGGAGAACUUUUUGUUGCACAAGUAAAAUCCCAGACAUCCUUGAUGAUGUGCUCUGUUACUUAUUAUGGCCCAUUGCAAAACAAAACACAAAAAUUUCUCUGUAUCACUGAGUCUUUCGGAAAUCUAUUUUUCUACUGAUAUACUGAUACAGUAUAUAUAAAAUUAGAAUGAAAGAUAAAAUUUUGUGUGAUUAAAACCUUUGCACUGUAUAUAUUCUGGGAAUCUGGUUUCUCUGGGAAAGCUUUCCAAUUAUAAUGUUUUUAUGUGUUUAAUGUGUUUGUUGUGAACAUUCUUUGAAUAUGCAUUGGAGUCAGAAAGUCUGAUUUCUUGUCUAUUGCAUUACAAACUCAAUACAAGCAUAGUACAAGUGUAAAUGUACUUCAGAA